UCUUAUGGAUGAGCAUAAAAGGUAAUUUCUUAAAAUGGAAUCUAAUCCUAGUAAAGGUCUUCUGAA
rnacentral:pre_miRNA from 1 species